AAAAAUUUUUGAGAGUGUGGCCAGGCGGCUCGGACUGAGCAGGGUUUUCCUUGCCAGUGAAUCGUGUAGAGUACACUGCCAGUCUCUUGUCUUCUCUUCACCAUGGCUUCUUCUGAUAUCCAGGUGAAGGAACUGGAGAAGCGUGCCUCAGGCCAGGCUUUUGAGCUGAUUCUCAGCCCUCGAUCAAAAGAAUCUGUCCCAGAAUUUCCCCUUUCCCCUCCUAAGAAGAAGGAUCUUUCCCUGGAGGAAAUUCAGAAGAAAUUAGAAGCUGCAGAAGAAAGACGCAAGUCCCAUGAAGCUGAGGUCUUGAAGCAGCUUGCUGAGAAACGGGAGCACGAGAAAGAAGUGCUUCAGAAAGCGAUAGAGGAGAACAACAACUUCAGUAAAAUGGCGGAAGAGAAGCUGACCCACAAGAUGGAAGCCAACAAAGAGAACCGGGAGGCACAAAUGGCUGCCAAACUGGAGCGUUUGCGAGAGAAGGACAAGCACAUUGAAGAAGUGCGGAAGAACAAACAAUCCAAAGACCCUGCUGAUGAGACUGAAGCUGACUAAUUUGAUCUGAGAACUGACUUUCUCCCCCUCCCCUCCUAAAUAUCCAAAGACUGUACUGGCCGGUGUCAUUUUACUUUUGCCCUCCUGACAAAUAUUCUAGAAGCUGAUGUAGGACUGUAUAGGUAGAUCCAGACAGUAUGAUGUUGUUCUAGGGGCUAAAGGGGAGAAACGAAAAGUGUUUUACUCUUUUUCUAAAGUGUUGAAGUCUUUCUAAUGUAGCUAUUUUUCUUGUUGCAUCUUUUCUACCUCAGUACACCUGGUGUGCUGGGUUAAUGGCUAGUACUGUAUUGGCUCCGUGAAAACAUGUCUGUGAAAAGA